rnacentral:piRNA from 1 species
UAGCAGCCCCAUUUCAUCAUGGUCCC